GGUCGACGAUUACUCCUACGGGAGGCAGCAGUGGGGAAUUUUGGACAAUGGGGGCAACCCUGAUCCAGCCAUUCCGCGUGAGUGAAGAAGGCCUUCGGGUUGUAAAGCUCUUUCGCAAGGGAAGAAAACUCGAUCUCUAAUAUAGGUUGAGGCUGACGGUACCUUGAUAAGAAGCACCGGCUAACUACGUGCCAGCAGCCGCGGUAA
rnacentral:rRNA from 1 species